rnacentral:rRNA from 1 species
UGAGUAACCUGCCCUUCACUCUGGGAUAACUCCGGGAAACCGGGGCUAAUACUGGAUAUGACUCGAACAGGCAUCUGUUUCGGGUGGAAAGAUUUAUUGGUGGAGGAUGGACUCGCGGCCUAUCAGCUUGUUGGUGAGGUAAUGGCUCACCAAGGCGACGACGGGUAGCCGGCCUGAGAGGGCGAUCGGCCACACUGGGACUGAGAUACGGCCCAGACUCCUACGGGAGCA